rnacentral:rRNA from 1 species
UGAAUACGAGACGCUAAGGCGUCGAAGUAGUGUAUGUCAUACUUCCAAGAAAAGCUUGCACUGUCAUAAGUAAAAAGUGCCUGUACCAUAACCGACACAGGUGGGUAGGUAGAGUAUACUAAGGGGCGCGAGAUAACUCUCUCUAAGGAACUCGGCAAAAUAACUCCGUAACUUCGGGAGAAGGAGUACCUUAUUCUAUAAGGUUGCAAUAACAAGAUCCAAGCAACUGUUUAUCAAAAACACAGGUCUCCGCUAAGUCGUAAGACGAUGUAUGGGGGCUGACGCCUGCCCAGUGCCAGAAGGUUAAAGAAGUCGGUUAGCAUUAGCGAAGCUGGUAACUGAAGCCCUGGUGAACGGCGGCCGUAACAAUAACGGUCCUAAGGUAGCGAAAUUCCUUGUCGGGUAAGUUCCGACCCGCACGAAAGGCGUAAUGAUUUGGAUACUGUCUCGGAGAGGGGCUCGGUGAAAUAGACUUGUCUGUGAAGAUGCGGACUACCUGCACCAGGACAGAAAGACCCUAUGAAGCUUUACUGUAACUUGAAAUUGAAAUUGGACUUUAUUCGCGCAGUAUAGGUGGGAGGUGUUGAUUAUAAUCUUGCGGGAUUAUUGGAGCCAUCAGUGAGAUACCACUCUUGUAAUGUUAGAUUUCUAACUUUUGGAUCAUUAUCUGGUCAAAGGACAGUUUCAGGCGGGCAGUUUGACUGGGGCGGUCGCCUCCCAAACGGUAACGGAGGCGUACAAAGGUUUCCUCUGAACGGGUAGAAAUCGUAUCUAGAGUGUAAAGGCAUAAGGAAGCUUGACUGUGAGACCUACAAGUCGAACAGGGACGAAAGUCGGUCUUAGUGAUCUGACGGUACUGAGUGGAAAGGCCGUCACUCAACGGAUAAAAGUUACUCUAAGGAUAACAGGCUGAUCUCCCCCAAGAGUUCACAUCGACGGGGAGGUUUGGCACCUCGAUGUCGGCUCAUCGCAUCCUGGGGCGGUAGUACGUCCCAAGGGUUGGGCUGUUCGCCCAUGAAAGCGGUACGCGAGCUGGGUUCAGAACGUCGUGAGACAGUUCGGUCCAUAUCCGGUGUAGGCGUUAGAAUAUUGAGAGGAGCCUUCUUUAGUACGAGAGGACCGAGAAGGACAUACCUCUGGUGUACCAGUUAUCGUGCCAACGGUAAACGCUGGGUAGCUAUGUAUGGAGUGGAUAACCGCUGAAAGCAUCUAAGUGGGAAGCCCACCUCAAGAUAAGUAUUC